rnacentral:lncRNA from 8 species
UUGUCUUGCUACAGCCCAAUAUCUCUCUGUGCUCCAAAUAGAGGGAUGUUCUGGGGACUUCAGGGGCCACAGCUUCUCCAUCACCUGCUCCAUUCAGCCACAGUAUCCUGGAGGCCUCUUCUAUCGGGACUUCUCUGGGUCCAACAGGACUGAAACUACGCCAGCAGUCAACCACUCUGCCUCCUUUUACUUCCCUGUUGCAGAGUAUACAGAUGAGGGCAACUACAGUUGUGUUUGAGGUUAUUGUCUCCACCCUGUCAUUCCAUUCUACCAACAGAGUUGCUGACAGUCAGCAUUCAAGGUAAAAUACGUUUUAGUUUCAUGUUUCUCAAGUGAAAAAAAUAUAGAUAUUAUCAGUCCUUUCAGUCAUGCAAUAUUUUUUUAAAGACCAAUGUUUUACAUUGCAGAAGAAUUUGAUAGCUAUACGAAUUCUGAAAUGUAGAUUUCUGAAAGAUGUUGAAUAUGGUGUUGUUUCUCUCCAUAGCAUCCAUAGUCCCCAUUAUUAGUGGGCUACUGCUCCUCUUGCUGCUGCGCGUUCCUUGUCUAGUCUGGAGGAAGAUAAGCAACAGAGAACAGACAAUGAUAAACCCAAGAGAAAGUAAGCUCUAGCUCCUCUUAUCAGGAUUUAGAUUAGGGUUGCAAAAUACCCAGGUUUUUAAGAACCUGGAUAAUCUGGAAUAAAUGUUACAUUUCUUGAAAACCUGGACAUUUUGAUUACCGUAAUUUUUCCACCUUCAUUUUGUUAUGAUUUUGUACUGUUUAUGAUAUCUAUUUCCUGCUUAUAUUCACUGAUGUCAUUUAUAUGAAUUAAACUGAUAAAUGCCUCGGCUGCCAUUAACAUGAACACACAUGGAAACACCGUGGGUGCAGCGAGUGAGGAAAAUGAUGAAGAGGACGAUGUCAACGCAGAAGCCUUUGUCAACAAGAGCAAAGAUGAAGACUUGAAAAAAGGAUGCCGUGCAGGAAUGAAUGCUCCAGGAGCCAUGAACACGUGUGGAAACAACCAGAGGAAGGACCGGAGGCAGGUGAGGAAGAUGAGGACGUCUAUGAAAAUCCAAAUACCUUCACAUGGAUGGAUGAUGCUGAAGACAUGUACGAUGAAGACAACUUACUCUUUAGACCAGGAGCAGAAGAUGACAACAUAUAUGCAAACUAUGAGUGAAGGCCUUGUAAUAGGCAUGUUGAUGCAGAGAUAUUGAUAACAUGAGAGGCUUGAAAGGUUAGCUUUGUAAGUUGAAUUAUAAGGGCCUAAAAGAACAACUUUUUCAUUAGUAGAUAAGAGUAAAGGCUUUGUUCGAAUUUGAAUUUCAAUGUGCAUUUUUUGUGUAUGUGAUUUCCAGUUGUAUUCUUGCCGGUAAUUAUAUGCGUUUUCUGACUUGACUAACACAUCCAUUUAUCUUUUUUUGUUAUCUUUUUUAAUACAUAUUAUUUACUUGAGAUUCAAAAGAGUGAUUUUUCUUGAUGCAUUGGCUGAACAUAAUGUUUGUUUUUAAAAUGUUCCACCUUAAAAAAAUAUAUAUUAAUGCUUUAGACUAAUUCUUCUAUAAUAUUCAGUGUGCUGUCAAAUAAUAAUCCAGGUAGAACUCUUUUGGGUUCCUUGUAGAAUCAUCUGUGUAAAGGGUUCUACAUGGAACCAAAAAGGGUUCUUCAAAGGGUUCUCCUAUGGGGAUAUAGGAGAACUCAAGGUUCUAGAUAAAAAAUUGCUUUCUGGCAAAAUGAAAAUACAUUUGUACUGUAUGUAUAAAAUCUAUUUCAGUGUACAUUUUUGAUUACUGUGUGUGUGUGGCUUUAAAGAACAUGAAAUUCAAGCUUCAAAGUUCUACGGAAAUGGUUUUGAAAAUAUGUGGAGAUUUAAAUACUGUACAACUGUAUGGUCAACAUUUAGAAAUAGAUCUCUGGAUGCAAGAGGCCCAAACUGACCCUGACCAACAACUCUAAUUUUGAAGAAACCUAUAAAGCAGAGGAUGUGAUUAAUGCAGGUCUUAUUAUAUCCACUAGGGAGAAAUGUUGUCACAUCGUUCAUUAUGUCAAACACACUACAUACUGUGCGAUCUCUCUCUCUCUCCCUCUCUCUCCCCCUCACACACACACACACACACACAGGGGUCCUCCAAAUUAGCAACCAAGUCAUCGGUGCGGUGCCCGACAUGCAGCAGCGAGACAGCCUCCGAGCGAAACCCAUUCUUGACUGGUGUUGACAUUUAUUCACUUAUUGAGGCUUUACUUCUCCAGCCUGGCUGACACACUGUCUGGAGCACAAGCUGCUUUACUAGGUUGAGAGAGAACAGCAGACAUGAAGAAACGAAGGCUGCCUAAAGACAAUAAUCCCAACUGGAGCCACUACAGAGAGACAACCAUAUUGCUCUUCCAUACUGUUUGCCAGGGACAAUAAUUCGUCCUUGGCAUUUUAUCCACACCAGCGCCGACUACUGUUCGCGCCGCCAACUCACCCCGGAGUGGUGCCCAAACCCUAUCAGCCACUGCCCAGACAAAAUCACAAACCUACAUCUACACCAGGCUUCAGCCUUCUGUAUGACAUUCAGCAUCCACUCCAAGUUAGACUUAGACACAGUCAGAAGUGCUGACACACAACAUUGGCAGCACAGUACAGCAUUUCUGUACCAGUGACUGGCGAGACAUGGUUCUCCUCCUCUUUUUUAACAAGCUCAUAUUUAAAGCAAAUACAAUAUGUAAAAGCCCCACUGGAGAUAGAACGCACAACUAUAACUGUGCCUCUGCACUAGCCGUUUUGUUUGCCUCCUUGUUAUGCUGUCUGUCUCAGCAUCUUGUCUGCUGUCACUCGAUGCUAUUUCUUGUUCUGUGUCUGCCUGUCUGCUUAAACCUUAUACGUAUCUAUUCAAUCAGAUCCGCUUUAGCCAACAUCCUCAUAGCUGUUGUUUUGGCGGUGUUGGGGGUGGUACUGUGUUAGAGCUGUCAAAUCCACAAGCGGCUCCUGGUAUUAUACCUAAAGUGGACAUUGCCAUUGGCUGCACAGAGUCGCAUUAAGAGAAAUCCCAUGUGUACAAUUUAGAACACUGGAAUCUGAGAUGUAAAUUUACACUUUGAAAAAGCUGAUACAUUAUUUUGCUGAAUGAUUAUGUAUUUGAGCAAAAUUAUUUAUAUAUAGCCUACACUUUCUCGUUCUGAACUUCAAAUGCGAGUGGGAAGGGUGUGGCUUUGUGACAAUAAUCAAGAGCAGCUGCUCCCCGAUUUGACAGCUGCAGCACUUACACCUCCGACACCGACAAAACAUCAGCUAUGAGGCCAUCACCAGUUAACACUAUCUGAUUGAAUCUGGACCUUAGGCUAUAUUGCAAAUGAGUGCACAUCAUAUGUGUUCACCUGAAUCAACACCUAUCCUAAGUGUUAAUUACUAUUACAGGCCUCCAGACUAUCAUUUUCCACUGAUGUCACUGGUGCCACUUACUUUUACAGUUGGUGGCACCAGCCCGUGAUUUGGGUCUGACCAAAUCAUAAGUAAUUCUCUUAUAAGGUAAUUCAUAGACUACUGAGGUAUUCAUGAAAUAAGUGGUUUCAUCUAACACAUCCAAGUAGGAAUACAAGUUUCAAGAUAUUUUGAUGUGCAACAUAACCCAGUGAUUGCCAUGAUUUGUGAGUUCA